AGAGUUUGAUCCUGGCUCAGAACAAACGCUGGCGGCGUGUCUUAAGCAUGCAAGUCGAGCGGCAAGGGCAGCAAUGCCCCUAGAGCGGCGGACUGGUGAGUAACGCGUGGGUGAUCUACCUUGGGCAUGGGGAUAGCCAUUAGAAAUAGUGGGUAAUACCGAAUACGUUCGUUACCGUGAGGGUAACGAGGAAAGGCGCUACGGCGCCGGCCUGGAGAUGAGCUUGCGUCCGAUUAGCUAGUUGGUGAGGUAAUGGCUCACCAAGGCGAUGAUCGGUAGCCGGCCUGAGAGGGUGUACGGCCACACUGGGACUGAGAUACGGCCCAGACUCCUACGGGAGGCAGCAGCUAAGAAUAUUCCGCAAUGGACGAAAGUCUGACGGAGCGACGCCGCGUGGAUGAUGAAGGCCGAAAGGUUGUAAAGUCCUUUUGCUGGGGAAGAAUAAGCGUGGGAGGGAAUGCCCGCGUGAUGACAUGAACCGGCGAAUAAGCCCCGGCUAACUACGUGCCAGCAGCCGCGGUAACACGUAGGGGGCGAGCGUUGUUCGGAAUUACUGGGCGUAAAGGGCAUGUAGGCGGCUUUGUAAGCUUGGCGUGAAAUUCCACGGCUUAACCGUGGGAAUGCGUUGAGAACUGCGAGGCUUGAGUGACGGAGAGGGAGCUAGAAUUCCUGGUGUAGGGGUGGAAUCUGUAGAGAUCAGGAAGAAUACCAAUGGCGAAGGCAAGCUCCUGGCCGAUGACUGACGCUGAGGUGCGAAAGUGUGGGGAUCAAACAGGAUUAGAUACCCUGGUAGUCCACACUGUAAACGAUGUACACUAGGUGCUGGGGCGGAUGCUUCAGUGCCGUAGCUAACGUGAUAAGUGUACCGCCUGGGGAGUAUGCUCGCAUGGGUGAAACUCAAAGGAAUUGACGG
rnacentral:rRNA from 1 species